rnacentral:rRNA from 1 species
GAAUUCACUAGUGAUUUCUGGUUGAUCCUGCCAGACCCGACUGCUAUCAGAGUGGGACUAAGCCAUGCGAGUCAACGUAGCAAUGCGAGGCGAACGGCUCAGUAACACGUAGUCAACAUGCCCAGGGGACGUGGAUAACCUCGGGAAACUGAGAUUAAACCGCGAUAGGUCAAGAUUUCUGGAAUGGAUCGUGUCUUAAAUCUACAUGGCCCCUGGAUUGGACUGCGGCCGAUCAGGCUGUUGGUGAGGUAAUGGCCCACCAAACCUAUAACCGGUACGGGCUCUGAGAGGAGAAGCCCGGAGAUGGGCACUGAGACAAGGGCCCAGGCCCUAUGGGGCGCAGCAGGCGCGAAACCUCUGCAAUGGGCGAAAGCCUGACAGGGUUACUCUGAGUGAUUUCCGCUAAGGAGAUCUUUUGGCAGCUCUAAAAAAUGGUGCAGAAUAAGGGGUGGGCAAGUCUGGUGUCAGCCGCCGCGGUAAUACCAGCACCCCGAGUGGUCGGGACGAUUAUUGGGCCUAAAGCAUCCGUAGCCGGUUGUGCAAGUCCUCCGUUAAAUCCAGCCGCUCAACGGAUGGGCCGCGGAGGAUACUACAGGACUAGGAGGCGGGAGAGGCGAGCGGUACUUAGUGGGUAGGGGUAAAAUCCUUUGAUCCAUUGAAGACCACCAGUGGCGAAGGCGGCUUGCCAGAACGCGCUCGACGGUGAGGGAUGAAAGCUGGGGGAGCAAACCGGAUUAGAUACCCGGGUAGUCCCAGCUGUAAACGAUGCAGACUCGGUGAUGGGCUAGCCUCGUGUCAGCCCAGUGCCGCAGGGAAGCCGUUAAGUCUGCCGCCUGGGGAGUACGGUCGCAAGACUGAAACUUAAAGGAAUUGGCGGGGGAGCACCACAAGGGGUGAAGCCUGCGGUUCAAUUGGAUUCAACGCCGGAAAUCGAAUUCCCGCGGCC